rnacentral:misc_RNA from 1 species
CCAAUAGCGUAUAUUAAAGUUGUUGCAGUUAAAAAGCUCGUAGUUGAACUUCGGGAUCAAUUAGUUGGUCAUGCCUUGGUAUGUACUGAUUUUAUUGGUUCUCACCUUCUAAAGAACUAUAAUGUCAUUUAUUUGAUGUUAUAGAGAAUUAGGACUGUUACCUUGAAAAAAUUAGAGUGUUUAAAGCAGGCUCACGCUUGAAUACAUUAGCAUGGAAUAAUGAAAUAGGACAUCGCAUUCUAUUUUGUUGGUUUCUAGGAUCGAUGUAAUGAUUAAUAGGGAUAGUUGGGGGCAUUAGUAUUCAAUUGUCAGAGGUGAAAUUCUUGGAUUUAUUGAAGACUAACUACUGCGAAAGCAUUUGCCAAGGAUGUUUUCAUUAAUCAAGAACGAAAGUUAGGGGAUCGAAGACGAUCAGAUACCGUCGUAGUCUUAACCAUAAACUAUGCCGACUAGGGAUCGGAUGAUGUUGAUUUUUUAAUGACUCAUUCGGCACCUUACGGGAAACCAAAGUGUUUGUU